rnacentral:lncRNA from 1 species
UCGACCAGGACCAACCUCUAAAAAUGACCGAAACAGUGGUGGGGGACGUAUAUCGAGACAUGCAGCACAGUUUGUCAUGGAUCGUCUCCUUUAUGGGCCUAUUAUUCGGUCGGACCUGAUACACCAGAGGACGUUAGUGGUCGCUUUCUUUACCUACUUGAUCAAGGACAAUGUAGAGAGCAAACAGGCGGUUUUGAUAGAAAAUCUACUGGAGAUGAUUCUGGAUGUCCAGCUGGACCAGAGCUGCUUGGUGCGGAAGAUUGGGGUUCAAGGAUUGGGGUAUGCUGCGGAGAAUUUGAGUAAGGAGCUCGUAGUGCGGUACUGCAAUCAGAUACUAAGCAUUUUGAUGAACUGCUUGGAUUAUCACAAUUUAGGGAACGAAAGCGAGCUGAUCCUGGAAUCGUUGCAAUCCUUCUCGAAACUCCUGAACAGUUUGCCAGGGUACAAAUUCCAUCCCUUUCAAGUUACCGCAGCAGUGAGGAUCAAGUUCCUAUUCAGUCAAGAGGAUCCACGUCUAAGGAGGACUUCGAUCCAGUUAUUAGGAGAUCUGGCAACGUCCCUUGGUUAGGAGACCAAUUUGGAGGCAUCCAAGGAGCAGAUCCAAGGGAACCUCAUCACUUUACUUUUGCAUCUAUGCGAUCCAGACGUGUAUGUUGUCAAGGCCUGUAAAAGUACGAUCCAGAAGGUCGGCCCUUAUCUGGAUUGUCUGGAGGUAAACCGCAUGAUCCAGGAGUGUUUGGGCGACGAAACCGACUUGAUGUUCACGGAUUUUAUUAAGGAGUUAAUUAAACGCAUGGGAUAUAUGGAAUCAAUGAUAUCAAGGUUAUCUGGGGGUCAAAUCGAGGACGAACUGGUUUAAAGGUCGUGUCUAAGGGCCAAUGCCGCCCUUGUCACCGGUUUGUUCUACGCCGAACUACUACCCGAGAAUAAACCGAAAGUUCCAUUGGAAACUGUCUGUGAUAAACUGAUCAGACUGAUGCAAGACGAGUCAGAAGAAGUUAGGAUUAAGGCAAGUCAAGCUAUAUCAUGUUUGUUUUUAUAAUUAUUGUAGAACGGAUUGUGCUAGGGGGAUAGUAUGAAUAAGUCUUUUUAUCGAAAUUUCGGUUUUUUACCAUUAACAUGUACUUUAUUAGAUCGAAAAUUUUGCAUAACUUUUUUGUUAUUAAAGAUAGAGCUUUCAUUUAAAAACUGUCAAGUACUCCUUGCAGAGGGGCA